rnacentral:lncRNA from 1 species
AACCAUCUGGCCACGGCGAAUCAAACUUUCCAAUUAGAUCCAGGACAUAUUAGCCACAACAUAUGUGAAAAUCAUGCAAAAACAAGAUCACUUUUGGAGCAUACCAUUAUUUAUCCUCCAAUAUGCAACACGAUGUGCAUACAAAAAAACAUUUCAACACGACAUUUAACUUACAUAAAUGAAGCGCAGGAAACAAUUAGCGUGCUCUGUUGCCAAUGUUGUGCUUUACAGAAUCGUACCUCAGAUCCCAAGAACCGAGACUACUUCACCUUACGCUCGUGUUUAUCUGUGCCAAUCGGAAGUGUAAUCAAUCGCGCGCUCGAGCUAACUUCCGUAUGUCCACAGUCAAAUAUGCCCUCGAU